rnacentral:rRNA from 1 species
CCUACGGGAGGCAGCAGUAGGGAAUAUUGCUCAAUGGGGGAAACCCUGAAGCAGCAACGCCGCGUGGAGGAUGAAGGUUUUCGGAUUGUAAACUCCUUUUGUUAGAGAAGAUAAUGACGGUAUCUAACGAAUAAGCACCGGCUAACUCCGUGCCAGCAGCCGCGGUAAUACGGAGGGUGCAAGCGUUACUCGGAAUCACUGGGCGUAAAGAGCGCGUAGGCGGGAUAGCAAGUCAGAUGUGAAAUCCUAGGGCUUAACCAUAGAACUGCAUUUGAAACUGUUAUUCUAGAGUAUGGGAGAGGUAGGUGGAAUUCUUGGUGGAGGGGUAAAAUCCGUAGAGAUCAAGAGGAAUACUCAUUGCGAAGGCGACCUGCUAGAACAUAACUGACGCUGAUGCGCGAAAGCGUGGGGAGCAAACAGGAUUAGAUACCCGGGUAGUC